AGACUUCAAUCCAUGUUUUAGAGAAGAAAGCACAGGAACCCAACAUAAAUACAAUGUAAACAACUGCAUGGACAGGGUCUUCUAACACUGAAGAAAAGGACUCCGGAGGUGACAGAUAGUAACAAAGUCCACCAACAGGAUAAGCACGAGCAGGGCCUCCAGCUGAGGUGUCAGACCAAGUGCCCAGGAGGCUAACCAGUAAGUUCCCACUGAAGCGUGCAGAAAGCAUCUGGGAGAUGACGUACAAGUUUGACACCAGGGCAGACUGAAGAAUAAUGGGAAUGUUUGAAGUAUAGAACAAUUUGAUUGGGUAGGUGUUGUACUGGCCACGGUAGCGAGCAGAUUUAAUAGGAAGAUCCACUCUGAAACCCUGGAAAUAAAUUACAAUCGCAAACACGAAGAUGGUGGCAAUCAGAUUCAUAAGGUUGGGGAGAUUCUGACGGUAAAAGGCCUCACGAAGAGCUCUGACUUUGUCUGUACGAGUAGCCAGAAGAUGGAACAAAGCAAUGAUGGCACCCUCAAAUUCCAUGCCUCUUCCUGUGUUCACC
rnacentral:lncRNA from 1 species